rnacentral:misc_RNA from 1 species
AGAGGGGAUCCGGGUUUGGGAGGAAGAAAGGGAAAAGAGGAGGAAAAGGAGAGAGAUAGCGAGGAAGGAGAGAAUAAGGAGGAGAAUCGGGGAUCUGGAUCUUGAUGAUGGAGAAAUGUGAAGUUUACUUGGCAUUUUUAUGGUUUUUUCUGGCUAUGGAGAUCAAAGAAAUAGAGCUACAGACUUGUUUCCGUGUUUAUGGAGAAGCAGCUUAUGGCUGUGGAGAU